GCGGUUAUUCUUGAUGAUCUUCACCGGUUGUCUCGGGUGACCGCCAAGUUUACUUUGAAAAAAUUAGAGUGCUCAAAGCAGGCGCGACGCCUGAAUAAUUGUGCAUGGAAUAAUGGAAUAGGACCUCGGUUCUAUUUUGUUGGUUUUCGGAACACGAGGUAAUGAUUAAGAGGGACAGACGGGGGCAUUCGUAUUGCGACGCUAGAGGUGAAAUUCUUGGACCGUCGCAAGACGAACUACUGCGAAAGCAUUUGCCAAGAAUGUUUCCAUUAAUCAAGAACGAAAGUUAGAGGUUCGAAGGCGAUCAGAUACCGCCCUAGUUCUAACCAUAAACGAUGCCAGCCAGCAAUCCGCCUGUGUUCCUCAAAUGACACGGCGGGCGGCUUCCGGGAAACCAAAGCUUUUGGGUUCCGGGGGAAGUAUGGUUGCAAAGCUGAAACUUAAAGGAAUUGACGGAAGGGCACCACCAGAAAUGGAGCCUGCGGCUUAAUUUGACUCAACACGGGGAAACUUACCCGGCCCGGACACAGGAAGGAUUGACAGAUUAAGAGCUCUUUCUUGAUUCUGUGGGUGGUGGUGCAUGGCCGUUCUUAGUUGGUGGGGCGACUUGUCUGGUUAAUUCCGAUAACGAACGAGACUCUAGCCUACUAAAUAGACGUUCCGAUCCUCUUUCGUCGGACGUUCUUCUUAGAGGGACAAGCGGCGUUUAGCCGCACGAGACAGAGCAAUAACAGGUCUGGGAUGCCCUUAGAUGUCCGGGGCCGCACGCGCGCUACAUUGAAGGAAUCAGCGUGUGCUUUCCCUGUCCGAAAGGACUGGGUAACCCGUUGAACCUCCUUCGUGCUGGGGAU
rnacentral:rRNA from 1 species